CUACGGGUCGCAGCAGUGGGGAAUAUUGCACAAUGGAGGAAACUCUGAUGCAGCAACGCCGCGUGGAGGAUGACACUUUUCGGAGCGUAAACUCCUUUUAUAUAGGAAGAAGAUGACGGUACUAUAUGAAUAAGCGCCGGCUAACUCCGUGCCAGCAGCCGCGGUAAUACGGAGGGCGCAAGCGUUACUCGGAAUCACUGGGCGUAAAGAGCGCGUAGGCGGAUUAAAAAGUCAGAAGUGAAAUCCUAUAGCUUAACUAUAGAACUGCUUCUGAAACUCUUAAUCUAGAAUAUGGGAGAGGUAGAUGGAAUUUCUGGUGUAGGGGUAAAAUCCGUAGAGAUCAGAAGGAAUACCGAUUGCGAAGGCGAUCUACUAGAACAUUAUUGACGCUGAGACGCGAAAGCGUGGGGAGCAAACAGGAUUAGAUACCCUAGUAGUC
rnacentral:rRNA from 1 species